UACGGAGGGGGCUAGCGUUGUUCGGAAUUACUGGGCGUAAAGCGCACGUAGGCGGCUUUGUAAGUUAGAGGUGAAAGCCCGGGGCUCAACUCCGGAAUUGCCUUUAAGACUGCAUCGCUAGAAUUGUGGAGAGGUGAGUGGAAUUCCGAGUGUAGAGGUGAAAUUCGUAGAUAUUCGGAAGAACACCAGUGGCGAAGGCGACUCACUGGACACAUAUUGACGCUGAGGCGCGAAAGCAUGGGGAGCGAACAGG
rnacentral:rRNA from 1 species